CAAUAUUGAUAAGCGCCUGAUCUGUAUAAAUACAACAGAUGACGAGGAAAGGGUUGAUCGAAAUAUUCGGCGGAUGGCCCUAGGGACUACACUCUAAAAAGAAACACAAAAACUAUCUGUGAAGAUAGAACAAAAGGUUUCUUACGUAGCUGG
rnacentral:ncRNA from 2 species